CCAAACCAAAUGAUCACACACACACACACACACACACAUCUCAUUCUGAAUAUAAUUAAUCCCGCAACUGCAGAACACGAAAAUCUGUGAAAUCAAUCACCAGAAAACGUCGAAUGCGAAAUCAGAAUCCAAAUCGAAAUAAACAAUGCCAUCUAAGAAGGACUGAGCCUGGUAAUCCUUUGGUACUCGGUUUCCUCCUCCUCCCCAAUUAUGGCUUCUCCUUCCCGAUCGGCGCCACCACGCUCUUUGGAAUCGGGAGGCCUGGGCUACCUAUACCUGUCGUCAUUGCCACUGGUUAAAUUUGCAGAAGUUGGCAACGUGGUCAAGCUACUACUUUCUUUUUGCUAGCGUGAUCAUCGCUGUUCUAGAGUGGGUUGAUCUGUGGCUUCUGAAAUCGCAUUAGUUUGUCGUCUCUUUCUAGGGCGAGCCCAGCACUUGCCUUAACGCUCCAGGUUUUAGGCAAGUACUUGAAAGGAGUUGUGGCUAUUGUCAUCUCAAUCCUCAUCUUCCAAAAUCCAGUCACAUUCAUUGCUAUUGCUGAUUACACCAUGAGGUGGUCAUCGCCUAUGGAGAGUCGAAGAGGAGACAAAAAUGAGCCCUCGUCGUUCUAUCCUACGUUCAGUAGGAAUACAGAGGCUAUUGUUGUAACUGCAGCGACUAGUGACUUAGACUUGUUGGGCAAAAUCAGCUUUAGAUAUUUAGAUAUAGAGUUGAUUUUAUCUCAGUGCCACUUUGCAUUAUGUUUUUUUGCCCAGAAUCAGACUCCAUGCCGAGUUCAGAUAUGUAAGCUUAUGUUUAGUAGCAAAA